CAAUAUUUUUAUAUUGACGAUACUUGAAAAAAUGGCAUUCAUUUGCAAAAUACAAUGAUGAAGACAGAUAACUCCAUAAAAAUUUUAAAUCGAAAAAAGCUUCUCCAGUUCUGUAGUAUUGCUCUGUAAUCUCUCAAUUCAAUUAAUUGCUUUUUGUACUGCCCUGGAUCUCUGUCGAGCCCAAAAGCUUAUCUCGAUUCACUGUUAGCUGUUCAAGACGUUCCGUUUCAGUUACAUCUGCUUAUAUAAUUAUAUACAAACACAAGUCUAUAUAUAAAGAACAUAUAGUGUACAUAUAAGCUCCACUUGCAGUUUCUCAGACAUACACUACAAACUGAGGAAUAUGCUUAUGAUUUACGUGUAUUUUUCCCCAGAUUGUCGUUGCUGUGUUCAGUUUUGCAUAUGUCGUACUCUUGUCAGCGAAUCAUGGUUCUGGUCUUUGGAUUGGGCAUCUACCAAUUUGUCCUCGCAUUCCGUGCAUAACUUCCUCUUGCGGUGUGAAAAACGCCUCCGACUGCCACACCGGCGAGCAGUACGUACCUGUACAUAGCAGAGGAUGGUGUGGCUGCUGCUUUGCAAACUGCUGUGGUGCUUGCGUUCAAACCGUCGGUAUUGGAGACAACUGCACAGCGGUUUACAACGGCACGAACGGACGUUACGAAGUGUGUCCCGGUGGCUCGGAGUGCAACCGUGACAGCAGCAAGUGUGUAAGGACAAACUCCACCACACCGAUACUUCCGUAAGGAAACGCAUUGUACUGAGCUCCUGUACUGAAUGUAGCAGUGUAAUUAAACAUUGAAGAUACUCGUACUACCGUCA